ensembl:lncRNA
GAGUGGCUACCCUGCCAACCUGGGCUCGCACCAAAACUCCACCGAGCAGGCUCUCCACACUAAGGCUGCACUUUUUGGACCAGGACUUCACUGCGUCUCUUUAAGACGUUUAGACCAGAGGCUCUAGGCGUCCAGGCAGCAGUCACAAACAGCAGAAAGCUAACAGCAUUUUAAGUCUCACUGCCGUAGCAACAGCAUCUUCUGUAGAGGAAGAGGGUUUGCCUCAUGCCGAACAGCAGAUUUGCAAAGUUAGUAAGCAACAGGAGCUUUCAGAGGUCACUCCAAGGUUGUUCGCAGAAAAUCGAUUGGAUGAAGCCGAAGGACCAAGAGUGCUGUCAGGGUCAUCCAGAAUUUCAGCUCAGCCAAACAUAUAAAUUUCUGUUGUGUUUUCAUUGAGACUGAAAAAGUAAAAAGAAAUAAA